rnacentral:rRNA from 1 species
CCGGAGCUUGCUCCACCGGAAAAAGAGGAGUGGCGAACGGGUGAGUAACACGUGGGUAACCUGCCCAUCAGAAGGGGAUAACACUUGGAAACAGGUGCUAAUACCGUAUAACAAUCGAAACCGCAUGGUUUUGAUUUGAAAGGCGCUUUCGGGUGUCGCUGAUGGAUGGACCCGCGGUGCAUUAGCUAGUUGGUGAGGUAACGGCUCACCAAGGCGACGAUGCAUAGCCGACCUGAGAGGGUGAUCGGCCACAUUGGGACUGAGACACGGNCCAAACUCCUACGGGAGGCAGCAGUAGGGAAUCUUCGGCAAUGGACGAAAGUCUGACCGAGCAACGCCGCGUGAGUGAAGAAGGUUUUCGGAUCGUAAAACUCUGUUGUUAGAGAAGAACAAGGAUGAGAGUAACUGUUCAUCCCUUGACGGUAUCUAACCAGAAAGCCACGGCUAACUACGUGCCAGCAGCCGCGGUAAUACGUAGUGGCAAGCGUUGUCCGGAUUUAUUGGGCGU